UACGUAGGGUGCAAGCGUUAAUCGGAAUUACUGGGCGUAAAGCGUGCGCAGGCGGUUGUGUAAGACAGAUGUGAAAUCCCCGGGCUCAACCUGGGAACUGCAUUUGUGACUGCACAACUGGAGUGCGGCAGAGGGGGAUGGAAUUCCGCGUGUAGCAGUGAAAUGCGUAGAUAUGCGGAGGAACACCGAUGGCGAAGGCAAUCCCCUGGGCCUGCACUGACGCUCAUGCACGAAAGCGUGGGGAGCAAACAGG
rnacentral:rRNA from 1 species